AUUUGAUGAUGUGGAAAACUACCACAGUGGCAUUUGCAACACUCCCAAUACUCAUGUAUGGUCUCCCCUCCAUUCUGGGUGAUGCCAUAUAUCUCUUUUCUUAUGCU